UACAGAGGGUGCAAGCGUUGUUCGGAAUUAUUGGGCGUAAAGCGCGUGUAGGCGGCUUUGCAAGUCGGGUGUGAAAGCCCUCAGCUCAACUGAGGAAGUGCGCCCGAAACUGCAGAGCUUGAGUGCCGGAGAGGGUGGCGGAAUUCCCCCAAGUAGAGGUGAAAUUCGUAGAUAUGGGGAGGAACACCGGUGGCGAAGGCGGCCUGCUGGGGCGAGUUACUGACACUGAGGCGCGACAGCGUGGGGAGCAAACAGG
rnacentral:rRNA from 1 species